CAGCCGCCGCGGUAAUACGAAGGGGGCUAGCGUUGUUCGGAUUUACUGGGCGUAAAGCGCACGUAGGCGGAUCCUUAAGUCAGAGGUGAAAUCCCAAGGCUCAACCUUGGAACUGCCUUUGAUACUGGGGAUCUCGAGUUCGGGAGAGGUGAGUGGAACUGCGAGUGUAGAGGUGAAAUUCGUAGAUAUUCGCAAGAACACCAGUGGCGAAGGCGGCUCACUGGCCCGAUACUGACGCUGAGGUGCGAAAGCGUGGGGAGCAAACAGGAUUAGAUACCCCAGUAGUCCCUGUCUCUUAUAC
rnacentral:rRNA from 1 species